GAUGAAGAACGCAGCGAAAUGCGAUAAGUAGUGUGAAUUGCAGAAUUUAGUGAAUCAUCGAAUCUUUGAACGCACAUUGCGCCCCUUGGUAUUCCAUGGGGCAUGCCUGUUCGAGCGUCAUUUGUACCUUCAAGCUUUGCUUGGUGUUGGGUGUUUGUCUCGCCUUUGCGUGUAGACUCGCCUUAAAAUAAUUGGCAGCCGGCGUAUUGAUUUCGGAGCGCAGUACAUCUCGCGCUUUGCACUCAUAACGACAGCGUCCAAAAGUACAUUUUACACUCUUGACCUCGGAUCAGGUAGGGAUACCCGCUGAACUUAAGCAUAUCAAUAAGCGGAGGA
rnacentral:misc_RNA from 1 species